rnacentral:rRNA from 2 species
GUACAACUCUGAGCGGUGGAUCACUCGGCUCGUGUGUCGAUGAAGAGCGCAGCCAACUGUGUGAAUUAAUGUGAACUGCAUACUGCUUUGAACAUCGACAUCUUGAACGCACAUUGCGGC